rnacentral:lncRNA from 1 species
UAACUUCGGGAGAAGGGGUGCCCCCUCACAAAGGGGGUCGCAGUGACCAGGCCGCAGACUCCAACUACCGUCCAUGUACGAUCCCUACUAGAUCUGACCAACUACCCAUCCUACCUCCUCUACGCGUGUAUCCAUUUGUAUCCGCAUACCGGAUAUGUUACGCUAAAUUGAAGAAAGAAAUAUAGAUUAUAGAUUAACGACCUCUCAAUCGUGGGUACAGAUGUAUCCUUACUAUACUGAAACGGCUUCCAUUAUUCUUGAUUGAAAAGGAUCUUUCUGAUUCUCGAAGAAUGGGAUGGGGGCAAAAGGAUUGAUCGAGAAAGAUUUCUUGUUCUUAUUAAAAGAUCGUGAUUGGAUCCACAUAUGUUUGGUAAAAAGAAAAAUCUUCU